rnacentral:misc_RNA from 1 species
AACAGAUGUUAAAAAAAUAACUUUUUUUAUUAAAACAUUUUUUUUCAAAUUGUAUAGUUUUAUUUAUAUGGAUUUAAAUUUUAUAUUUUAUUGCCCUGAGUAAUAAUCGAUAACAUGCACAAGGUCAUAGAUAAAUGUCAACGUAAGUACGGCGCGGAGGAUAUUCACAAUAAUUUAUUUUAAAUUAUUUCAAAACAAAACAAUGGAUAAGGAUAUAACAGGAGGUCAUAAAAAUACAACUUAAAUAUGACAUUUUAUGUGUGAAAAAGUACAUAAUUGAAUUCGAGUGCAAGCAGCUAGCUAAUAAUUAAAUCACUAUUGUAAUGUCACCGUCUGCACAUUUCACUGCUAUACAAAGACGCUAUCUCCUACAAAGGAGAUGAGCUGGAUCUCAAUUUGUCACGCUGAUCGACUGAGAGUGGUAAUUGAAAUGUGGCGAAUAAGGAGAAAAAAAAUAUUGGACAAAUUUUUUGAGACAGGAAAAUUAUUGUUUAACAGCUUUAUUUAUUAAAAGACUUAGAUUUAACCAUAAAAUAUAUUAAAAAUGUCCCUAAAAUUGUGAAAAAGCAGUCAAAAAACGGAGCUCAGUUGUAGAUAUUCAACCAAUAAAAUCUCAAGAAAAUACACACUUUCUAUGUAAUGAUUAUAAAGACCUACCCACACAGAAGUCAAGUUUAACUUUUUAUUAUACAAAUAUACGCAGUUUGUGCAAAUCUGGAAAGUU